rnacentral:sRNA from 2 species
AGAUUCCCGUCAGGGGGAAGGUGAGAACCUUCGACCAAGGUUCGACAAAACCGCCAGGUUUUGAACAACGCGUCAGCGUUGGCCCGCAGGGCGAGCCGCGCAGCGGCGAGUUAUCCUUCCCCCACCACCA